UACAAAGAAGUUCUAAAAGACUACAAGAAAGAGUUUCCACUAAAGAAAAACAAUGAAACCAUUUCUACUAAAGACAAACAAUGAAACCACAGAUGCUUUGUGAAAUAUGUACCCGCACAAUCCAACAAACUUUAGAAAUUCACAAACACUACCUAGAAUUUUUGCUGACCAGCAAAAAAUUUAUGCAAUUUAAUUCUUAUUGUUAUUAUUAUUUUCAAUGUGAACAAAUAUGAUUGAAUUAUGAAGUAUUUGGCCAGAAGAGGAUCUUGCCUAAUUAUAGUCAUUAAACAACCAUUUAUACCAUAGCCUCUAGACUUUAAAAAGUUUAUAAAACUCAAGGGCUUCCACCCAAUUUCUAGAUAUCUCCAUAACAUUCUUCUGACUAUUAGAAAGCAAUUACCACUUUAAUUUUUCAUUUCAUGAGUGUUCAAUUCAGAAAAAGACCAGGAUCGAACUUGCGAUCAUGCAGUCGAAAAUCCACCUGUGCAUGAAACUAUUGCCUCACGAUUGCAAACUCAAGUUGGAGUCCAGUAACAACUCUAGGUUUGCUGAUGUGCUCCAUUUGAAAUAAAGGAACUAAAGAAUACUUUAUAAAGAUUAAUUACCUUCAUAUUUUAGGUUGGGGUUAAGGCAAAAUGUGAUAGAUUGAGAGGAAGAAAAUAUAUCUUGUUCAGGAAGCCAAUAUUUUGGAGUUCACCUUUCCAUUCGAGUCCACUCUGCUAUAGCAAAAUCAGAGUCACAACUAUGCCUCUUUAAGCUAUCCUUUAAUUGGAUGAAUUGCAGAUUUGGUUGCUGAGAAAGUGGAUAAGAAAGAAAAAUGCAUACUGUAGCUUGAGAUUAAGAGUUUGUUUUCUAAAAUGAGAGAAAGGGAAAGAGAAAAAAUGCAUAUUGUAGCUUGAGAUUAAGGGUUUGUUUUCUAAAAUGAGAGAAAGGGGAAGAGAAAUGUUCGACAACUUUGAGAUGACAAAUUUUUAGAUUUGGAAAAUUUGAGAUGAGUCUCAGGUUUUUUUUUUUUUUUUUUUGUCUUUGUCUUUGUUUUUUUUUUUUUUUUUUGUUUUUUUCCCAAAAACAACCUGUUAAUGUGGUUGUUGACAUAGAAGUGGGUGAGGGCAAAAUGGGCAUAGAAAAAAGAGUCAACACAAAGUGCACAAAACCCAUAUUAUUUUCCACAUUAAUGACUGAUUCUCAUAUUUCUUGUUCUUGGGAUUUGAAAACCAUAUUAUUUGCAAAUGGACCUCCCAAAGCACAGGUUUCCCUUAGUUUUAUGUCUCCAUCUACAUUUUACAUAUAAAUAGAUUAUUUUAUAAAAUUUGUUUUGUAGAUAUAUUAGUUAAUAAUUAUAUAAUUAAUGAUAUAGAAAACAUAUAAAAAUCAUAUUUAAAAAAGAUAAUUACAUAUUCCUCAACAAUCCAUCCCAAGAAUUCGAGGUUGAGUUGAAAACAUGUAGAGUCUUUGAUGUUAUUAUAAUCAUAUCCAACACAUAUGAUUAUUGUUUAUGAGAUAUUAUUAGAAAGUUUGUCUUAAAAUAAUUGAUUUAUUACCCACCUUUAGCAAAUGCCCAUUUUUGCGUCUUUCAAAAUUUUCAUUUUUUUUUUGUUUAAAAGAAGUAUUGUAAAGAAUGAUGAAAUAAGAAAUUUGUUGAGAAAGUGUGAGUAAAUAAUUUUACAUAAAAAGAGAUUUAAUACUUGAUAAAUAAAAUAAUAAAAUCAUGAUUUCUAGUUGUAUAGGGCCGGGUGGAUGGAGUGGCUAAGAUGUAAUUCUUGAAAUAGAGGAGACAACAUCAAUGUAUAAAAGUUUAACAGAGAAGGAAAGUGUGUUUGAAUGACUUUAUUUUCUUCAUUUAAAGUUUUGACGAUGAGUGUUUAUACAAGAUAAAUUUUCAAAUGAUAGGACUCCUAUUUACAUGGAGUUUGUGAUAUACUAUGAUUAUACAAAUUUAAAAUUCAAACAGAUUCAUGAGUUGAUAGGAGUCUGCUCAAUACGCCCCUUCAAAAUGGUGGGAGAUAGCACACCAAUCUUGACUCGAAGGGCCUAAACUCGUGCAGAAGAUGAGGGCUUUGUUAGAGCAUCGACAAGUUGAUCCGUGGUUGACAUAUGGGACACCUUGAGCUCACCUGAUUAAACCUUGUUUCAAACAAAAUGAAAAUCAAUCGCCGAUGUGUUUCAUGGAGAGUGAAACAUGGGAUUUGCACAAAGAUAUGUUGCACCCACGUUAUCACAAGAGAUAGGAGGUGGUGAUAAAUUUGAAACACUAAGUUUUGAGAGAAGAGAAUUAACCCAAAGAACCUUUGAGGCUGUAGAGGCCACGACGUGAUAUUUCGCUUCAGUGGAAGAGCGUGCUAUGAACUUUUGUUUCCUCGAUGACCAAUACACAAGAUUGUGACCAAGAAAAACAAUGGGAGCAUUGGUGGAGGAUCUGACAUAAGGAUUCCUUGCCCAUUCAACAUUCGAAUAUGCAUGUAGAUUGAUGGGCGAUUUCUUAUGCAAGAACAGACCAUGCACCAUUGUGCCGACUAAGUAUCUAAGCAAUCUUUUAACACAAGACCAAUGUGUUGAUGUUGGAUGGUGCAUAAAUUGAGAUAAUUUAUUCAUCAAGAAGGUGAUGUCAGGGCUAGUAAGAGAGAAGUAUUGAAGGCUUCCAACAAUUGACAUAUAUUUAGUGGGACCAGGAAAAGAGGUGUCAUCACACAGAUUUGGAACAUUGUUGAGGAACAUCAAUGAUUGAACUGGUUUGGUAGCCACCAUUUGUGUUUUCUUAAGAAGCUCUCGAAUGUACUUGAGAUAAAAAUAAUCCUUUGGAAGUAUGUAUCAUUUCAACACCAAGAAUAAAAGAUGAAGUCCUGAGAUCCUUAAUGGAGAAUUUGACUGCUAAUUGAGAGAUCACGCGAGCACGAAAAACAUUAUUGUUACUUGUUAAAAUAAGAUCAUCAAUAUAAAUAAGUAGGUAAACAAUGAGACCACUCUUUUUAAAAAUGAAGAGGGAUGUCUCGGUUUAGGAGUUGACGAAGGCUAUUGAGAGGAGAAAUUGGCAAAGUUCAUGAUACCAUGAUCGUGGAGCUUGUUUAAAGCCAUAAAAAGCCUUACAAAGUUGGCAAAUGUGAUGAUGUGUGUAUUCGUGAACCCAGGAGGUUGAAUCAUGUAAACAUCUUCAUGAAGUGUCCUAUGCUAGAAUGCAUUAUUAAUGUCCAAUUCAUGAGUUGAUAGGAGUCUGCUCAAUACAAUGUGGGAGUGUGAUUUCAAAAUUAGGGUAAUUUCGAAAUGGAUUUUGUAUUCACAAGUUGAAUUUCAAAAUUAUUUUGAAAUGGUCUUUUAACUUUAAGCAGUUGUGUUCAAAAGGUCAUAACUUCUUCGUUUCAAUUUUGAUUUACACAUUGUUUAAAACAUUGGACUCUUUACUUCCCGAGCUUCAAAACGAUAUAUAGUAUGCUCAAAAAUGACAUCAGGAUUGGUUCAAAUUUCAUCUUGAUAUUAGAGUACAUGUUGUGAUUAGAUUUUGAGUUCCAAAUUUCCAUGUAAACUUGAUUGCAUUUGCUUCAAACCUCCUUCAUUAUGGUUGCUUGCCCUCUAUCUCACUUUGCAACAUUUGUUACUAGUAUUUUAUGUCCAUGACUUACUCAUUUCAACCUUUCUUGGAUUCUUCAUGGUUCACAAAUUAUGGAUUCUUCAUGGUUCACAAAUUGAGUCUUUCAAUUAUGCAUGUUUAACUCCUAUUUCCUUGGUUGAUAAUGACUUUUACACUUAUCAUUUUCUUUUAUUCUUUAAACCUGAAUUUAGACUUACAAAAAAAAGUUAGAUCCAUAACUAGGGUCUUAGCAUCAAUUUGAGUUAAGUUGGAUGAUUUGAAAAUUUUAUAUUACAUAAAUCAUAUCAUACAUGUGCCAUUGGAGUGCACAUUUUGGCUCUAAUCAUGUUCCAACCCAUUGUUUUACUCUUGCAUGAAGUAUGUGGCCAUUGAUUUUAAUUUUAUUUGCGAUUAGGUUCAAAAUGGUGCUUUUGUGUUGCUCAUGUGUCAUCAGAAGAUCAACUAAUGGAUUCUCUAACAAAACUACUACAUCAUAGUCAUUUUUUUUUUUCUUAAGACCAAGAUUGAGAUCUCCAAUCGGAGCCAACUCCAUCUUGGGGGCAUGUUAGUGAAAGAUAAAAUUUAUCUUUAAUUUAAAUAUUAAUAUUUAUCAGUUAUUAGUUUUAAUUAGAGUAAAAGAUAGAGUUUAAAUUGGAGUAGGAGAUAAACUUGUGUUUGAACUAGAAUAGAAGAUAAAGUAUAAAGAUUUAUGUUUGAAUUAGAAUAAAAUAUAAAGUUUGAAUUAGAGUAGAAGAUAAACUUGUUCUUUAUUUGUAUAUAAAUAUUCAUCAAUUCUUGAGAAGAAGAUUAUUUCAUAGUUUUUCUAUCUUCUUUUUUCUUCAUACAUAUCUGCAAGAAAUUGAAGAUUUCAAGUAAAAUAUUUUCUGUUUUAAAUAGUGAAAAAAGCUAGAAAUUCACUUUGUUAUCUCUUGGGGUAAAUUGACAAGGUUUAACGUUAAGAAGGUGAAUUAUUUUUUCAGAAAAACUGAAGUAGCUAGGAUAUCUGGCCAGUUGUGAUCGAUAAAAAAGUUGUAAAAUCUCUCAUAUACUAAACAGGUUUUGGAUGUUGGUAUGGUAAAUCCAUCUGCAGUCAUUCGUCAUCUCAUCUAGUGAGAUGUUUGGGAGGUGGUGACCGCCGGAUUGGGUUUCAUUUGGUUAAAUCUGUCAGUGGGUUGGCUACUACCCGAGCCUCUUGCUUUGGGGGAGGUGGGUUCUAGAUAUAAUGUUCAAACCAUUUUAGUUAUCAUAUGCAUGACAUGUAAGCAUAAUCUCUUUAUCACUUCUUCAAUGGGAGUUCAUGGUUAGGAAUUGACUUCUUUUCUUCUGGGAUGCUUGGCAUGUAAUGGACAAAGUUACUUUUAUAUCGAUCGAAUUUCUAGUAUUAUAGUGAAGACUUACCCUUUUGACAUUUUAUAUCGAAUUAUAGAAGAUGAAAGGGACAUACAUGCAAUCGACUGACGCUUUAGUGAAUAUGCUGAAAAUAUGCUGAUGCUGUGGAGAUCGUAUGAGGACAGAGGAAAAAGAUAGAAAUGGAUAUAUAAUUAGACCUAGGUUUUUAUUAAAUGAGAUGGGGAACAUAGAGUGAGGGAAAAUCAAAAUUUUUGGCUGCAGUUCACAUUGGUGAUAUUUUGGAUUGACAAAGACUAACGACUUUUCUAUUUUUCUUUUCGGCCUGACUGGAUAGUUGGACAUGGACAAUACAGAAUCCACAGAAGGAUUGUUGGGACCGCUGAAAAUUAGCUAGAAGAAGCUGAGGAAGUAGUCUACGUAGUCAAAUACCAAACACAAAGAAAGAAAGAAAUGGAUAUCAUGGAUGCCUAGAGUUAUACUCCUAAUACCGUCACAGGUAUUUUUCUUUCCUCCUUUUUUUUUCUACGAUAAUUAGAGCAUUUCUCCUCCUCCUCCUCCUCCUCCCCCCACCCCACCACCAAAAAAUAAAAAAAUAAAUUAUUGCAAGUAACACUUCAAAUAUUAAUUUAUACAUUCUAAAGUAUAUAUUCAUGAAAUAACUUGAGUAUCAUACAUUAGUUCUCAAAAAAAAAAAAAAAAAAAAAAAAAAAUUACUGGAAGAGAAAAGUUUAAGAAAACAUAAAAAUAUUCAACUACUAUUUUAAAGAGAAAAUUUAAUUUUUACACUAUAAAUUUGAAGAGAACUUUUACAUGCAUCUUAUAUAAACUACCAUUUUUUGCUAAAAGGCUUAAAUUUGUCAAAAAUACCCCUUAGGUGCUUAACGUUCUGGUCAUAAUAUAAUUGGCAUCUUUUCUCAAACAUAAGGCCUGUGUGUGGGAACAAGAUUUAAUGUUAAUGAGCUUCGCCACCGACAUUUAGUUCCAGAAAUCAUUAUUUUAAUAGAGUGGGCUCAAUUUACAACUUUAAUUAAACUCUAACCAACUGCAUUGUGAAAUGAAUAUGUUUCUUUCGUGGUGAAUCCAAUGAGUUGGGAGUCAAACUUUGCUUCAUUGUGUAUAGAUGAAAUGUUAAGACUCCAUGUAACCUCAAACAUUUCCGCAAUNNNNNNNNNNNNNNNNNNNNNNNNNNNNNNNNNNNNNNNNNNNNNNNNNNNNNNNNNNNNNNNNNNNNNNNNNNNNNNNNNNNNNNNNNNNNNNNNNNNNUUCUUUCGUGGUGAAUCCAAUGAGUUGGAGUCAAACUUGCUUCAUUGUGUAUAGAUGAAAUGUUAAGACUCCAUGUAACUCAAACAUUUCCGCAAUGAGCGGGAGUUCUAAAUUUAAUAAUUGAAAUUGUCAGUGGAACCAGUGGACAAGAGUUGGUUUGUGGUUGACAAACUUAUCCGUUUGAUCUUUACUUGAACAGUUCCAGUGUGUGGAUGGGUACUGAUGAAGUGUGCGCAUUUAUUUUGAGAAGCCUGCUUGUUCGCAUAGAUUUUAACGACAUGAACAUUGUGGUAAGGUUAGAGAGUAAUGCGAAUGUAGGAGCUUAUAUUAGAAAUGACACAAACACGUAAAUAGAAGUAAUCUAUAUAUGAUAUUACUCAUGGACUACAAGCAAAGAAGUACAAUACAUGGAGUAAGUGAUGAAAUGAGCAUUCCUCACUACUACUGCUUGACUGAUGGAACAUGAUGCACGAGAUAGCAUAAGUAGUAGUAGGAAGCAGCUCUUAUUUGUGGCGUCGGUAUACAUCAUACUAGGUAGAUGGUUCAAUUGGCAUGGAUGGGUGGUGGAGCCUUGAAGUGCUUGUGAUGGGGAGCCCACGGCUUCUUCUCAGGAGUUGGUGGCUUCUUGUAUGGAGUUGAUGGAGGUGUUUCUACUGGAGGGUGGCCAGGGUAGUGACCCUGGGGUGGUGAAGGUUCUUUUGUCGGUGGUGGCCUCACUAUUAUUGGCGGUAGAGUUGGUGGCUUGGGCGUUGGCGGUGGUCUCACUACUCUUGGGGGUAGAGUUGGUGUCUUGUGUUUUGGUGGUGGAGGUGGCUUAACAGGAGUUGGUGGCUUGUAUUCUGGGGGUGGUUUCUCCACCGGAGGUGGCUUAUAAACUGGAGUUGGUGGCUUGUAUUCUGGGGGUGGCUUCUCCACUGGUGGUGGCCUGUAAACAGGGGUUGGUGGCUUAUAUUCUGGGGGAGGCUUCUCCACUGGAGGCGACUUAUAAACAGGGGUUGGUGGCUUGUAUUCCGGGGGUGGCUUCUCUACGGGAGGUGGCCUGUAAACAGGGGUUGGUGGCUUCUCCACCGGAGGUGGCUUAUAAACGGGGGUUGGUGGCUUGUAUUCUGGGGGUGGUUUCCCCAGUGGUGGAGACUUGUAAACAGGAAGAGGUGGUUUGUGCUCAUAUGGGGGUGGCUUGUGGUCAUUAGCAAGUGAGGGAGUGGUGAGGACCACCAAUCCAAGGAACAACACGAGUGAGCAAGCAGAAGACAUGUUUGGGCUCUGGUGAUGCACAAGUAGAAGAAAUGGGAACCAUUUAUAAUGCUUCGAGACCUUGGUUAGCACCAAAAUAUGUCAAAAUCUUGAUUACUUCAUUUCAUACAUAGAUUUAAAAUUAUUUCAAUCAACCAUGAUCCUUAAUUUUCUGGGUGGUCCAUAAAUGUAAUGGGGUCAAUUUGGGACCUAACAAGCUGAGAAGUUUGACAAUGCUGCAAGGCUUCAUCCGAAAGUCCGGGGAAGAAUAUUAGGAGUUACACUCCGUUUCCUUUUUUGGGUGCAUUUUUCUCCUUUAACAUUCUAUUCCCUUUUACAUUAGCAUUUGAUCUUAGCUCAUUUCAAGUACAAGUUUCUUGAACCCUAUACCAUUGUCAAAGUUGAGUAACCAUCUCUACUUUGCUCAAGAAACAUAAAAGACAAUGACAAUAAAGAAAAAGGAGAGAGACCAUACGUGACUUGGUUUAUAGGUGGCUUUGUGUUGACAUUUGAGUAUGGAAGCCGACAUGCAUCUUAGCUUCGAUUUUAAUUAAAUUUGUACAUUAGUGUCUGUGUCAUUCAUUUUGGUAUAAAAGGUCUCUUGAUUUCGUAAGUUUGGUAAGAACCGUUGAAAAUAGCAGUAGCAGCACAUGGUCCACUUUCUUUCACAAAAUAAUUUUAAAAGUUUAGAAGCAUAGGAGGUAACAUUAGUGGCCUUGUGGCUCAGCCACGAGUACUAUGUGGUGCUCGAGAAAUUGAGUUUAAUUUCCUUCCGAUAGUUCAUGAUAAGGUCCGUCACUGUCCUGAGACAGAUUGCGUUUUUUCUUUUUUCCUUUUUUAGUGUUUUAUUGACUAGCUAGGUGUGACUUUUCCUACUUUAAGGCACGAGGCAGAAAAGAAACUGGGAUUUAGUGCUUAAGAAGGCAAAUUUAAUUCGAUUUGGAUCUAAAAUUUGCCAGCAACAUGAGAUUUUCCAGCCUAUCGUUGCUCCACAUAUAGACAAGGCACUUGUAGAAGUGGCUUGUUUGUAGCCAUUCCCGAUAUUUGGACUCACUUGAUUCACCGGACACUUUGAUAAAAUUUAAUAUUUAUUAUUUAAUAAUUUAAAUUGAUUUAAAAUUAAAUUAUACCGAAGUUGUGAUUUAAAAAUUAUUAUUUAAUUCUUACUUUUAAAUAUGAAGAUUAUUUGAUAAAAAUAAUUUAAAAUUUAUUAUAAAUUAUCAAAUUAACAUAUUUAUCCUUAUAAAUUAUAAUUAAAACAGAAAAGGUCAAAUGAUUUGAGUAUCCAUAGAUGUGGUAAAAUAAUAAAAAAGAUUAUAAAAACAAUUAUGAUAAAUAAAGAUAAAAAGUAAAAUGAAUAUGUGAAUUUAAAGAAUAAAUUAAUUAUUUUUAUUUAUUACUUAAAAUUAUUUUUGACUUUAAAUUAUAUUAUUAAAUUAUUUUACCAAACAUACUUAAUUUAGUUAAUAAUUUAAAUUUAAUUUAAGUUAUUAAAUUGAUUCACCAAAUACCCACUUAAUCAAAGACUGAAGUAUACAUUAUUUGGCCAAAUGCAGCUAUUGAAAUUUAACUUUUUCCAAACUUAUUCAUUUUGUGGAAAUAUUUUUAGAAAUGAUUUUAAAAAUGCACUAUUCUGUGUGUUGAUUUUAUAUUUUGGCAUUAAUCCAACAUAGAAAACGGUUCUUAUUUUCGCUGUUAAAUAGGUACCAGAUCCUUAAUUAGUGCCGUGAAUCCGGCAGCUUCCAAUGAGUAAUUUGGACUUGGGUAUUGACAAUGUGUGGCCAUGCUUCUACUAUUUUAUUAUUCUUGAAACAUAUAUGAUAUAUUGGACUUUAUACAGGGAAAAAAAAAAAAAAAAGUCUUCACCAAAAAUGAUUCCUCCUAAAAAAUAGACUCCACAAACUAGGUUUAACAGGAAAAUGAUUCUAAUCUAGUAGUUUCCAGCCACAUGAGCAUUUACGUAACAAUAGUAUAGUUGAUAACGACUUUUAUUUUAUUUAUUUUUAAAUAGUUAAAGGGAUAAUUUUUGAGCUUAAAUUUUAUUUUUUUAUUUAGAAACAUUUUACUUUAUUUUUUAAUCAUAAUUCUAUUAUAUUAAUGUUUUAUUUUCUAUUUUUUAAUAUAUAAGGAGAUACUAAAUUUAUGUGAUUAUUUUUUAAAAAUUUAGUAUAUGAAAUUAAAUAAUUGGAUAUAUAUACAUAUAUCAUAUAAUGUUUUUUAAGUGUGAUUUUUGAACUUUUUAGUCAUUUUAUAAGUUUAAGCUUUUGAUUUUUUUUUUUAAACUUUGGUAUUUUUUAUUUUAUAUAAAACUAUUUUGAUUUAAUUUUAUUAAAAAAUAUUGGUAUUAUAAAUUAUUGUAUUAAUUAUUUUUUUAUAUUAUAAUGUAACUGGUAUAUACUAAAAAAUGUAUGCAAGUUCAAUUUAAGUUUCAAAUUAAAAAAUUUCAUUUAAAUAUUUAAUAACUUGUUCAUAAUAAAAAAUUAAACAACAUAAUACAAAUGAAAAGAAACAUAAAAGAAAAAGGAAAAAAUGGUCCUCUCUGUGUGUCACAUUACUAGGUCAUCCUCUUUUUCUAUGACCCUUACAAUAGAAUGGCAUAUUUGUCAAAUCUACUUAUGAAAGUUGGAAUGUUUCUACAUGUGUAGGGUCCAUUGGAACUAAUGGAGGAAAGGCUUAACGUCUAUGUAAAUCACAACGUUGCCUAGGUGGGCAUAGAUCUAGUUGUGUAACAUGAGAUGGUGUGAGAGUACAAUAUAUGCAUUGUAGUCUCUAUGGGAAGAGAGAUAGGUAAUGGUAGGGUGGUAGACGGUAGGGUGAUCUCUAAUAUAAUGACAUUUGAUGUGGUGGCUUCUAAGAGAGGAGAUAUAAGAGAUGGUAGAAUGACAUUUGGUGUAAUGGUCUCUAGUGCAAUGACAUGUGAUAUGGUGACCUAUAAAGAAGAGAUAUAGGUGAUGGUGAAGUGGUAUGUGGUGUAGUGACCUUUGAGAUAGAAAAUAGAGGUAAUGGUAGGUUGGCAGGUGGAGUGGUCUUUGGUGUAGUGACAUCAAUUAUAAAUGUCUCCAAGGGAGGAAAUAAAGGUGAUGGUAGGUAGUAAAUGUUGAGGUGGUCUUUGAUAUGUUAUGCUCUAAGAGAGAAGGUAUAGGUAAUGAUAAUAGGGAAUUUGACAUAGUGGUGUUGGAAAUAAAAAGUGAAAGUGACCGUAGAGGUGAAAGGGCAAGUGUAAAAGCCUCAAGUACGAAUGGAGUAAUUAAUGUGGAUGGUGCUAACAUAGUCUUAGGUGGAUACACAAAUAGUCAUAGUCAUCAACUAGCUUGCCCACCAUCUGUCUUUCUGCUAGUGAUAGGUUACAUCUUAAUAGUAAUGGCCAACAUAAGUGGUGUGGAUCCGAUUUUUUUACGUGUGUCCCCACUCAAUCGACAAGACUUAUUUUUUAUUAGUGAAAAAUUAAUUUUGGAAAAGUUGGAGUCACCACUUAUUUUAUUUUAUUUUAAAAAGGAAAGUAAAACAAGAAAGAGAACUCUAAAGAAGUGACUUCAUAGUUUUGGAAAAGUUAGUCUUAAAAAAUCCAAGUCUUGGUCCGGAGAUCAGGUUACUUAUUGGGAAGAUACCUCUAAGAGGUAAUACCCCUCUAAACCCUAAAGAAGUCUCUAAUGACUAAGUUGAGGAGAAUGUGGUAAUUAAUUAAUUGAUUGAGGGUACCUAGGUAGACUAAGGUGAUUUCAGAAUUAACAUACCAAGCUAGAAAGUCCAAUCAUGAUCAUAAAAGAGAGUCAAAGUAUGUACCUGAACUGCUUCUCAAACGCUAUCAUAAAACAUCAAAGUUAGUAUAGAAAUAUAACACAUAAUAUUUGUUUUAUCCAAGCAAAUAAAGCAUACAUCUAAGCACCCAAGAAUCACAUCAAGUAUGGAUAUAGUCAUCAAUAGCAUACGUGUCCAUAGAACUAUCGAAAGUAAAUGUGGAGGAGCGUAUCUGGACAACAUAGAUAACUUAUAAUGUGCUUCCACAAGACAUGGGGGUUAGAUAAAAGUUAUAAUAAUAAUUAGUAAAUGAAAGAAUUCUAGCAUGUUUGGUAUCUAAAUAACAUAGCAAAAAUGAACAAGAGUACACGAAAACAUCAAUUAUCACACGAGUCAUAUUGGCUAGUAUUUAAUCAAUAAACCAACAAUAAAUGACUAUAAACAUAUAAAAUGACAUAUUCAAAGAGACCCAAACAUAAAGAGCCUAGAACACAAGCUUACACUAAAUUUAGAAAACUAAAACAUGGAAUUUUAAAAGCAUAAAUUAGCAAACAAAUUGAUGGAAACUAAAUUUAGAUAACUUAAGAAUAUUUUUCUUAUCCUUCAAUUUAAAUCAGUAAGCCAACAAUAAAAAAUUAUAGAAACAUGGAAUAUCAAGAUCAAUGGGAUACCUAAACUAUAAUUUUUAAAAGAAAAUAAACUAAGCAUAAUAUCUACAAAGCAACUAAACUAACAUUUUUUUAAAAAUAAAUUAAACAUGACAUUAAUGGAGUAACCAAACUAAAUUAAAGUAAACUAAAAACAUUUAUGAAUUUUCAAACAUGGAAUCAGCUUUCUUAGUAAAUUAAAAUUAUUAAAAUAAAAUCUAAGCUUAAAAAUGAAUUAAAUACUAACUAAAGCAAAUCUAAAACCAAAUAUUUAACACAUAGGAUCAAUUAUAUUAACAAACUAAAAUUUUAUAAGAACACUUAAACCUAAAGUUGAAUUAAAAACUAACCAAUUUUUAAAACUAGAUCUUUAACCCAUAGGAUCAAUUAUAUUAACAAAUAAAUAAUAAAUAAUAAAUAAAUAAAACUCAAACCUAAAGAUGAACUAGAAAUGUACCAAAGUAAAUUCAAAACAAGAUCUUUAACACAUUAGAUCAAUUAUAUUGACUAACUAAAAAAAAAAAAAAAAAACACUCAAACCUGAAACGAUGUAUUAGAAACUAACCAAAGCAAAUUUAAAAUAGAGUCUUUAACACAUAGGAUCAAUUAUAAUCACUAACUUAAAUUACAAUUUUUGAAACAUGAACUAAUUAGUGUUGGAUUAAUUAAACUAAUUAACUAAAAAAAACUAUAAACUAGAAUACGGUGAAUCAAGAAUUCAAAUCAACAAACAUAAAAUAUGGGUACAAUGAAAUGAAAAUCUAUUAAACUAAUAAGACGGAAAUAUGACAAACUCAUGAACCCACAUUUUGAUCAACUAGGAAAUAGAAAUUAAUAGACCUGUAGCAUGGAUACAAUGAAAUGAGAUCAGUUAAAUUUAUUUGCCGAAAUUCUAAAAAACACAUACACUCAAAUAAGAUCUAAAUCUAAGACCAAGCAAAACUCAAACUUUCUCAAUCUAAUGCAAUGAAUCAAAACUAAAAUUAAAUAGAAAUCAAACCAUUUUUUUUUUAUCUAAUAUAAUAAAUCAAAGCUAAAACUAAACAAAAUCGAAUUUUCUUAAUUUAAUAUGAUGAGUCAAAGCUAAAAUUGAACAAAGUUCAAACCUUUAUAUAAUGGAUCAAAGUUAAAUCUAAAUGAAAUCCAUACUUCCACAAUUUGAUAUAACAAAUCAAAAAUAAAACUAGAUAAAAAAAAAGUCAAAGCCUUUCAACUUGACAUAGUGAAUCCAAACUGAAACGAAACAAAAUUUUAACUUUUCCAAUGAAACCCAAUAUAGAAAAAAUUAGCUUACCUUCUUUAGAAUAUAUGUAUGGGCCAUAAAGAAGUCACCUUGGUGCAUGUGUUCCUCACUUUGACGCCAAUGGACGACUUUCUAUGGUAGCAAAUGGAGAUCCUUUUUGGUGGUAACUUGCGUGUGGAAACCUAUGGUACAACCAAUGUCAUCUUUUAUUGUGCGUGUGGACCAAUUUCUUCUCGAGAACUCAUGUGUGUUGUGCUCAAAAUAUGUUGCCUGUGAGAAUCUAUUGGUAUACCCCACAUAUGGUUUCCUUGAGAGAAUCUGUGGUUGUGUGUGGGCGUUUUCUUCAUGACAGCAUGUGGAUGUUCCCAUCUAUGGUAGAUUGGUUGUGAUGCUUUAGUGCAUGGUCUCCAUAGGAAUAGUGUGUUAUGGAAAUUUGGUUUUUUUAUUGGUGCAUGUUGUCUAGACUUUCCCAUAUGCGUGGACUGUGUGUUCAUGCUUUUCUUUUCGGAUGGUCGCCUGUGUUAAUGUGUGGCGGUGUCUACAAUGAAAGAUACAACCCUUUCUCUCCUUCUGCGUGAUAGAAAAGUCAAUCCCCCAUGGUGCGACUAUGUUCCCUCGUCCUUUUUGAAAAAUUUUGGUGUUUUCCCCCCAAAAAAUCCCCUCCAAAAAUCUAAUUAUAAAUGUCUGCUUUGGCCUAAUGUGUGUGCUACUUUUUUUUUCCUUCUUUUUAUGGUUGUGCGUGCUUUUCUUGAUACGUGGCUUAUUUCUUAAGGAUAUGAUUCGCUCCCAAUUGGUGUCUCAGCUGAUUCAUGUCCUUUCAAUGGUCCCUGACAGUGGUGCCAUUUGAUUCGUGUCCAGCUGGUGUCCCUUGAUUGUGGUCCUCAGAAGGGAGUAAUCAAUAAAAUUUAUAACCUAUUACACCAUGUAUUAGGAUAGCCUUAGCUAGCAUAGCAUAGUGGCUCUAGGGUCGUUUAUUGGGAUGAGUUUUCACUUCACAAUUGAUAUUAAUUCAAGAGCUGAAUUGGUGCCUUUUCAUUUCAAGGUUAGCUUUAAAAGAAAACAUAAUCUUUGGUGGAAAAAGGUUUGGUUUUAAACUAACCAAAAAUAGUAACUGAUUUUACUUACAAAGAAAAGUGUUCUUUGGAGUUUAGAUCACUAGGCUCAGGUUCCUCAUACAAAAAGGAGAGUUCCGAUCAUUUGUUUCUUUUCCUCGCAUUAGAGAAUUAACAUAUAGUUAAUUCUCUAACCGGUGCGGUACAUAUGCUUCCCAUUAAUGGGUUCAAACACUAAAUACCUCUCACUGAUGCACCUUGCAAUGGCUCGUGCCUCUCACCUAGCAUUUAUCAUUCAAGGUGAUCUUUAACCUUGGAUUACCCAUCAAAAGCUCGCAAGAGAUAACUAAAGGAUGUCUCCUUAGAGUCCAAAAGCUUACCAAGUGUUGGUUAUUCUAGAAAAUCCUACCUUCAAACCACCUCCCAAAGGCUCGCAAGAGAUAAACAAGUGCAUCUCAAUGGAUGAAGAUCACUUGCCUUACCAAGUUUUGGCCCAGAUGAUUUAAUGACAUUUUAAGUUAACUAAAAAGAUAAAAACCAUUAACGGGUCACACUUUCUCUUCAUUAAAAACUAAAACAACAAAACUUCCAAUUUAUGCAUGAGGAAACUUACCUGGCUUUCUUCACUUCAAGAGAUGAAGAGCCUAGCCACUCAUCAUUUGAGGAAAAAUCCUCAGAGUUUGAUUUGCUAGAAAUAAAAAUAAUGAGAAAACAAAAAUAUAUAUAUGAAAAACAGAGCAAGUUCUCUGUAAUAUAUUUUUCUUCCUUAUACAAAAGGUUGUCUCUAAGAACAAGUUCCCGAGAUCUAUCUGAUUGUAAAUAAAAUUACAACUAUAUAUAAGAGGUUAUUCACCCCUUUGUUCUUUCUUAAAGACUAAGGAAUCCUAUGAUAGGUGGGUUACAAGGAGAGUUUGGGGAUUUAGACAUCAAAUAUCUAAAGCAAAAUAUCUCAAGAUGUUAGUCGGAAAUAUCAGGAAGCUUCAGGAGAACACCGCGACACUGUAUACUGAGAGAAAAACUCUCCGGGUAAGCUCUAUCAAAGGAUCCAGACAUGUCUGACUGGGAAAGUUGAAACGUCCUUCUCUCCCAUCCGGAUGUGAGAUAUCCGGAGAAAGUGAAAUGUCGGUCGGACAGAAUUCUUUCCCCGGGUGGAAUGAGUUGUGUUGCGCGUCGCAAGGGGGACCGUCUGCGUGUACAAGUUGUAGGGACCCCUCUCCCGGAUGACACCGAGCGCGUAAGGCUAUCCGGAUCAACUCCAUUCGGAUUCCCCAAGAGGACAUGUGGCGUGCUCCCCUAUCAGGACUCCCUUAGGGAGAAGCACACGACACUCGUGAACAUCAUACCCGGACGAUAGCAUGUCCUAUCCGGAUGUGUUGUCCGGAUCAUUGACUAAAGUGAGCAAGCCUUGCUACGUCAUUCGGACAGCUUGCCACAUACCAUGUUCCGUCGCCAUCUGAUGGUGUGUCCGAACGCCUUGUCCGGACAUCUUUUGCUCCUUGCAUUCCGGAUUUGCUUAUGACAAAGGACUUCAAAGCUUCGGUUCUUCAUGUUUCUGAGCUUUCCAUUGCUUUGCCAUGGAUUCCAAAGAACUCUCCUUAAUCACGGAUUGCUUUGGUGAUCAAAAAGUUAUCAAAACACAAAAACUUAACAUAGUUUGAUUAGAAUUGAUUGCAAGGGUUCUUAAUAUGUUAAUUGGGUUAAAAGGUGAUAACUACUACUCAAAAGUGUUUAUAAGAAUUAAUUACAAGCUAUGAAAUAACACUUUUUGAGUAGUAAUCAGGAUACAUCCUAGUUUUUCAUGGAAUUGAUAGUGGGUUGUUGUGCAUGAAUGCCACCAUUUCAACUAUGCUGUUGUUAUUUUUAAAAAAAAUAUGGAUUAUGCGCGAGUGGCAAUUCUCCACUAUGGAAAGUGGAUUGCUCCUUCAACCCAUGCAUGGCUACGUAUUCCUAUGUCUUUCUACUUGUGUUUGAUCCUCCAAAAAAAAUUUCGGUUUAGUGCUAGUAGAUUUUAAGUGGUGGAUCCCCAUUUUUUGAAAAUGAAGUGGCAGCCUCCCAUUUCAAGACAAAAUGGUAGCCUGCCUUUAAUCUUUGGAGAAAAAUCUGUGCAUGACCUUUUUUUUUCCCAAAAAAUCCGUGCAUGGUGUCCUUUAAUAUUUGGAGAAAAAUCUAUGUUGGAUCUUUUCUUUUCUAGAAACAUUUGUGUGGUCUUUUUUGUUAGCCCAAGGGUUCUUCUAAUCAAGUUUUGAUGAUAACAAACCAUGGUUAAGUGACUAAUUGGUUUAAUGAUUAAGAAUCUCAAACAUAAAAUCGAAAAUUCAUCAAAGGACCAAAUGGAUACAAGAUCGAGACGCUUGGAAGACUUGUAAUCAUAGGAAACUAAUGUAAGAUGAAUGCAUGAGUGCACUUAGGAUUUUCACACGUUUCAUGCAACUUAGAAAACCCAGUUUAUUCUUUAAAACUUCAUCCCAGUUUAUUCUUUUUAUGGUUGUGUGUGCUUUCCUUGAUACGUGGCUUAUUUAUUAAGGAUACAUCCCAGUUUUUCAUGGAAUUGACAGUGGGUUGUUGUGUGUGAAUGCCACCAUUUCAACUGUGCUGUUGUUAUUUAAAAAAAAAAAAAAUGGAUUGUGCGCGAGUGGCAAUUCUCCACUAUGGAAAGUGGAUUGCUCCUUCAACCCAUGCAUGGCUACGUAUUCCUAUGUCUUUCUGCUUGUGUGUGAUCCUCCAAAAAAAAUUUUGGUUUAGUGCUAGUAGAUUUUAAGUGGUGGAUCCCCUUUUUUUGAAAACUAAGUGGCAGCCUCCCAUUUCAAAACGAAGUGGUAGCCUGCCUUUAGUCUUUGGAGAAAAAUCUGUGCAUGACUUUUUUUUUCCCAAAAAAUCCAUGCAUGGUGUCCUUUAAUAUUUGGAGAAAAAUCUAUGUGGGAUCUUUUAUUUUCUAGAAAAAUUUGUGUGGUCUUUUUUGUUAGCCCAAGGGUUCUCCUAAUCAGGUUUUGAUGAUAACAAAUCAUGGUUAAGUGACUAAUUGGUUUAAUGAUUAAGAAUCUCAAACAUAAACUCGAAAAUUCAUCAAAUGACCAAAUGGAUACAAGAUCGAGACGCUUGGAAGACUUGUGAUCAUAGGAAACUAAUGUAAGAUGAAUGCAUGAGUGCACUUAGGAUUUUCACACGUUUCAUGCAAUUUAGAAAACCCAGUUUAUUCUUUAAAACUUCAAUUUCAUUAAAACCCGAGUUUUUAACUAAUGUACCUUAGGCAAAAUGUUUUAUAAUUGGCUUAAUAAUUCACCUAAAUACAUUUUCUAAGUGUUAGAAAAGAAAGGAAUUAAAAAAAGGUUUUCGGGGCAAAAAAGGCUCAACCGGUCGAGGCUAUGGUCAACCGGCUCAACCGGUUGAGGAACCAAUCGAUCGGUUGUGCUUGUCCGAUCGAAGACCAAUCGAGGGAUGCCAAAAAAUUUCUCUCUCUCCUAGUGGCCUUCUCUUCCCGGUCGAGGUUCGGUCUAGGCAACGGUAACAUGUCAAGCAUUAAAUGCUCCGACGACUAGUGAAUCGGUCGACCCCUAGCCCGAUCGGACGAGGUUGCCUUUUGCUGUUUUUGACUCCCGAGCUUAGAAACCUAUAAAUUGAGAGCUCCACUUCAUUUAUUGAUAAAAGAGAACACUUGCAUUCAAUAGUCUACCUACCUUUUCUUGAUCAAAAAGCUCUCAUUUCCUUCAUAGUGCAUUAAAUCAUCACUUGCAUAUCCUUUAGUGCACUAUUGUGUGUCAUCCUAGCUUUGUUUUGUAUUUGAGCUAUCCUUAAGCUAGGUUGAGGGAUUAUUUCUUAUAAAAAUCUGAGUGUUAAAGCCUUCAAGAGAUUUGAAUCUUGAAGAGAUUGUGUAAGAGCCCAUUGGAGCCGGAGUCCAAGUGUAAGAAGAUUGGAAGCUUGGUUGAAGCUUCAAGUUAGUGGAACCCUCACUCGGUUAGGAGGUUGAGGAGAGUGGACGUAGGUAAGGAAGUGUCGAACCAUUAUAAACCCGAGUUUGAAUUCUCUAACUCUAUCUCUUUAUUUUGCUUAUAUUGUGUUUGAAUUUGUUGUGAUUGAAAAGAUUUUAAAAACCUAAUUCACCCUCCCCCCUUUUGGGUUUUUUUUUCUUAAUUAAGCAUAACCUUUGUUUUCUAAUUUUCUUUUUAGGAAAAUCCAUGCGUGGUAUGUCCAAACUCUCCAAGUGGCAGUCUGCCUUCUUCUAAAAAAUUUGUUUCUAUUUCUUUAUUCGACUACCUUCCAUGUCUUCCUAAUGAGUGCUUGUGCUCAAUGGUCAAUCCCUGGUGGUUGCCUCCUUUUCCCAUAUAUACGUGUUGCAAAAUCAACAUCCCACUAUAUGUGGGUUGCCUCUAUGGCAAGUUCACAUUUCCCACAUGAAACCUAUGAGUUUCCACCAAAAAUUGCCAUGAAAAAGUCUUUAUAUGCAUCUCAUGCAAUAAAAAGUCAAGCCAAUACUCAUCUUAUCUCGAAAAAUAAGUAACCAAAAUCAAGAUCAUGCCUAAGUGAACUAUGCCAAAAGAAGUGUCCAAGUGACCUAUUAUGAAAAAAGUGCCUAAGUGACCUAAGGUGAAUGUGUGUAAGCUGGAAGGUGUCUAGGAUGUUUAGGACAAUGCCUAAGCCUAAAAUAGGGUUGCCAAGGGUCACAAUGGGGUUAGAUAAAUCUCUCAAUCAGAGUCUCCAAGGUGGCUCAUAAAAGAUAAGCUACACGAGUAAUGAUGGGCCACCAGGGAAUUAUUGUAAAGCACCAAACGAACACAUAAUAGGACAUGUGUUAGAAUGAAAAAAUGGAGGGUUUACAAGUGGUCUCAUGGAUGAGCUUGAUAAUUUAAAUGACUCACAUAAUGAACGUAUGUGAUGUUUCUCUCCAAUAACAAGCAAAACAUCACUAGCAAUAUGAUGAAUGUCUCCUAAAUCACUUGAAGUAGUCCUAGCAAAUCAAUUAGAAAAAUCACACAUAUUGCUCUAAUGUAAUAUUAUAUACAUCUGUCAAUGAAUGGGAGAACUAAUGACACAACCAUCAUGUUGAUAUCUCGAACCCUCUAAUCUCAUAUGUAGGUGGGAUCACACUUAGAAACUCAUAACACAGUAAUGACCAAUCUAAGUCAAAAUGUGUUGGUGAUCGGAGGCCCAUGAAUAUGAAGUUCUAGGAUGAUAAUGACAUCUUAUAAAGUAAUGAUCAUCUCCUUAAUAGAUAGGUGAAAUGUGUGUGUCUUAGGACACCAUCUCUCAACAAGACUUGUGAUCAAUCCCCAGUCUAGUGUAACAUGCCUAUUAUGACAUCCAUCGUAAAAUCUAGACUAGAUAAUAUAAGGACAAAUGUGAGGGUUCAUCUCCCUUUCCCACAUAAAUUUAAAAAAUUAUUAUUGACAAGUUAAGACCAAACUAAGUUGCAAAAUAUAAAUAAGUCCAUUAGAUAACAAAUUUAUGUUUUCUCAUUUUCUCAUUUUUAAAGAGAUAUUAUGUGCUUCCAUGUACAUACAUGCUAAAGUCAAUUAUACGAGACUUAUAUCCAUCUUGUAGAACCAAAUCGAACCUAUCUAAUAGAUCCAGAUUAGAAGUAUGUCCUCUAUACUCCAUAUUUAUAACACAUUUAUAAAGAUAAAUGCUAAAAAAAUGUUAAAGAUAUAAAUUUAAUGAACCAUACUUUAUGAUUUUAAUUCUCAAUUAUUGUUCAUAUUUAUAAGAGAAAAGUUAAAAAAAUUGAUAGAGUUUUCCCUCUAUCAUGGACAUUAUCCCAAAUAAAAAUAAAUUGAUUAUGCAAAUUACAUUAAUAUUUGUAACCAAAUGAUCAAUAACUAUCUUGUAUCAAUUUAGUAAAUAAAUUUAAGUAUAUCUUUUCAUUUAUGACUAACAAAUAACUCAUACUUGUCCAAUAAAAGCCACACCUAAUUUCUAAAAUUUUGUCUUCACCUCAAGUGAGUGUUACAUUGAGAAAGAAAAAAUAUGAAAGAAAAAAUGAACACCUUUUUCUUUUAAUAAAAAAAGGCCAUAACGAAACAUUAAAUCUCACUGUUACACCUAUCUUCAAUGGAAACAUGAGGAUGUGAAUGGUGGCGGUGAUAUUCUUUGCUUGAAGCUCAUAAACAAAUAUUCCUUACUAAGCCUAUGCCAUUUAGUAUUUCAAUAGUGGACCCCCCCCCCCCCCCCCCCCCCCUCCUUGCAUUUCAGAUUUAGCAAACUUAGAACCAAAUAACAAAGUGCAUUUGAACCCAUAAAGAAGUAAUGAGACUCUCCUAUAUUGGCAAUAGAAGAAAUUUUUGGAGGUAUAGGAGAUUCACGGAUGAAGAAGUUGGGCCCCAAUUGAGAUAAGACCCAAGAAAAGAUGGGGUAGAGAGGGAUGGUUGGAAAUUGUAAAGUAAGAUUUUCAAAAUGUAGUUGAUGACUAAGAUUUUGACAAUUUAAAAAAGGUUUAAAAAUGUAGUUAGCAAUCGGGGUUUUGUAACAUUUAAAAAAUAAAAUAAAAUCUCAGGCCACAUGGUAGCCCAUGUGAUUCAGAAGCUUGAGAAUUAUUUUAUAAGAAGACUUAAUUUGUGAUUUUUUUAUAACUAUAUUAUUUUUUUUCUUAACACACGAAAAAAAUUAUGAAAUAAGACAAUUUUCCUAAGAAAGCAUGUAAGUGACUCUUGGUUAUUUUAUUUAACUUCUUCUAGUUUGGAGAGGAUUAAUACCUUUGCUUUUACUCACUUGCUUGGAUAUGUACACGUUGUUCAUGUCACUUUUCAUUUAAUUUUCUGAUUAAGGGAAUUGGAACCGUACGUAACUGUCUUUAUUCCCUCUGAAACUUGGACUUGGAGUUGGACUUUCAAUCUCAUCAGUCGUGUUUCCAUAAAAAAGAAGAUGGAUUAACCAAUUUUCCUAUGCCUACUAAUCAUACACAAAACUCCACUUCCAAAUAAAAAGGAAUGGGAUAUCACUUGUUAAUAGUGGCUAAAGACUAUUAAUAACCAUGCAAAGAAAUGUCACAUUUUUUGUUCUACGCAAAUUUUAUUCAUCAACUACUAGAACCAUUUCAUACAAUAGUAGCUUUUCGAUCCUUUGAUAAAUGGACACUUGAUGUGAUAACACCAACUACACCUAUAUAUUCAAGCAAUCAUGCGUAUAUAAUAGUGGAUAUGGAUUACUUCUCUAAAUGGGCAAAAGUUUUGUCAUUCAAGGAAAGUGAACGAGGAAACACAAGUUUACUUUCAUCGGAACUAAUAUUAUAUAUUGAUAUGACUUCCCAUUAUUACUUACGAUGGAAUAUGCUUCCAUAAAAUGGCCUAGAUGAACAAACUAUCCAAGAAGUUUGGGAUCAAAUAAUAUAUAUAUAGUUCAUGUGUGAUUCUUUGGUUGACAACCUUGUUAAGGGGUGAGUGAAGCACUUUGGGCAUACCACAUACUACAUGCUAGACUUCCACCCAAGCUACCCUAUAUUCCUUAUGAACAAAGUAGAAGUUGUCAUCUCUCUUGAAUACCAAAUCCUUUCACCUAAUAAUGCUAUCUAAAAAGGUCUUAAAAAGGAUAAAAAUGCGCAUAUUUGAAUUUUUGAAUUAGGAGUGCUACUUAAAAAGAAGCUAGAUAUACAAUAAUAGAAUGUUAUCAAGCAUAUCUCUUCAAAGUUUUUGACCAAAAAAUAUAUGAUUUCUCAUUUUAGGUAGGAGACUUAGUACUCACUAUUCAAAAACCAAUUAUCAUUACUCAUAAAAACUAAUAGAAAGUUUGGGCCAAAGUAGGAUGGACCUUAUAUUAUGCAACAAUUAUGCCUAUAAAAUUGUUGCAAAAGAGGUUUUAGAAUCAAAUCAAUGAAUGAAAAAUUAUUAAAGCAUUACUAUGCUUGAAGGCUAGUCAUUUUCCCUUAAAGUGCAAUAUUAAGUUGCAUAGUACUAUGUGGAUCCGCAUUUUUCACAUGCGUUCCCACUCAUUGUCGAGACUCACUUUUUAGAAGUGAAAAAUUAGUUUUAUUAAAGUCGAAGUUGCCACUGGGGAUUUGAACCCUAACAAAAGGUUCAAUUUAAGGAUAAAAAUAUCGAUAAUCACAUAUAUAUAUAUUGGUACUUUGAUUUUAUGAAUAUAUUGAAGAAAUAUGGACAAAUAUUUUGACACAAAAUAUGUACAAAAUAAAAAUUAUAUAAAAAGUAAAAAUAAAUAUUUUAAAAUUAUUUUUUUAAAUAUAUAUAUAUAUAAUUUGACAUAUUUGAUAAUAAUAUAUAAGGGUCUCCAAAAAGCCCGUGGCCCGCUUUAGGCCCGGUCCGACCCGACAGGCUAAAGCCCGGCCCAAGCCCGCCGGGCCCAAGCUCGGCCCGAGCCCGUUUAUGGGUGGGCCGGGCCGCGAGCCCGUAGGCCUGCUCCUUUAAAAAAAAACUACAAAAAUAAAAAGUAUUAAAAAAAAUAUUCAUUUCAAAAUUUUAUUCAUUGAAUGUAUAAUUACAUUUGAAAAUGUGGGAAAAGUUUACAUCACUACAAAAUAAAUACAUCCCAACUAGGUUGGCACCUAUUUAUUUGUCAAUCAUCUGUAUUUUUCAACCACAAAAAAUAAAAAUAAAAAUAUAAUAUACAUUUAGUCAUUAUUUUCUGGCGGUGAUGGCGAACUAUCAUGCAUCCAUGAAGAUCUUGAUAAUUUUAAAGAUUCCAUAUCGGUAAGCAUCUUUGUUUCUCGAAUGGAAUCAUACAUCCUUUUAUCUGCUAUUUCCCAAUCUUUCACACAUAUCCCUGCUUUAAUAACAUCUGACGCUAAGUUGCAUCGUUUUUUACUAACUACUCUUCCACCUGCACUAAAAGCAGCUUCUGAUGCAACUGUACUCACAGGAACUGUUAGUACAUCACGAGCAAUUAUAGAAAGCACAGGAUAUUUGUGUUGAUGUGAUUUCCACCAUAUUAAAAUAUUAAAAUCUUCUUGAUCUUCAAAUGAAAUUAUAUCAGUAUUAAGAUAUUUAUCUAAAUCAGAUGUAUUAUUUGGAGAAUUAUUUGUUGUCUUUUUUCGACUUUUCAACAUUUCUAGAGCUCCUUUAUAAAAAGAUGAGGAGUUUGUAGAUGUAGGUGGUAAUUUAAUAGUAUUAAUAUCAUUACCAUAUUUUUCUUUAUAAUAGUUAUAUAAAUUAUAUAAUAAUGAAUUUAUUUCAUUUUUAAUUUCUUCAAUUUUUAUUUGGUCAUUAAAAUAAAUAAUUGUUAACCAUUCAUCCAAAGCUUCAAAUUUCAAUCUAGGGUCCACAAUUAAAGCAAUAUAAAAAAUUAAAGGUAUUUCUCCCCAAUAUUUUCUAAAUUUUUAUAUCAUUACAAAUAUUGUAUCAUUAAAUAUUUCAAAACUUAAAUAUUUUUGAAGUACAAUAAAAAUAUUAGUUAUUUGCGUAAUAACUCGAUUUGAAGUUGGAUAAUAUACACCACAAAAAAUGUUUGUUGAAGUAUCAAAAAUUUCAAAAAGAUCUCUUAAAACAUCCGCAAUAUGCCAAUCAUAAUCAUUUAAUGCAUAAAUAUCUGCUUCAUAAUCAUUGUUAAUUAAUUGUAUUUCAUAUAAUUCGACUACUUUUCUAUAUUUUGUAAUAUUUUCUAAAAGUUUAUAUGUGGAAUUCCAUCUAAUAGCCAUAUCCAAAUUUAUAUUUUUUCUUUUCAUAUUUAACAUUUUGCAACAAUCAAAAAAUAAUUCAUGUUUUGCUUGAAAACUAUUAAUACUAUAUGCAAUGCCUCUAAUUUUUUUCCAAUGUACUAUCAACAUUUUUUAAUCCAUCCUUUACAAUUAAAUUUAAAAUAUGUGCACAACAACGCACAUGAAAUAUUUUAGCAUGAUCUUCUUUUACUUGCCAAUAUCGUUUUAGUCUAUGUAUUGCUGCAUCAUUAUUAGCAGCAUUAUCUAAUGUUAUUGUCAAUAUUUUAUCACGAAUGCCUAAAUCUAUAAUUUCAUCAUUUAUUAAAGAUGCUAUAUUUUUACCACUAUGUGGAGUAUUUAUUAAUUUAAAUAAAAUUAUUCUUUUAUUUAAUUUCCAUUCAUUAUCAAUGUAGUGAACAAUUAUAUAUAAAAAACCAGUAUGAGUUAAAGAUGUCCAAAUGUCAGAUGUUAAACGAAUAUUUCCUUCAAAAUUUGCAAAAUUUUUUUUUAAAAUUUCUUUUUGUGUAUAAAUUUUUUUCAUAAUAUCUCUUUUAACUGUAUUUCCAGAUCAACCUUUAAAUUGAGGAUUAAUACCUCGUUGAAUUGUUCUUGCAAAAUCAUGAGUUUCCAUCAUGUUGAAAGGUUGUUCUGCUCUUAUUAUAUAAUCAAUCAUUUCUUCACAACAGUUAGAUUCAUCAUAAGAAAAUGUUUUUAAAUUUCCACUUUCAUUUUUACUUAAUUGCAUAUAAUUUCUAAUAUCUACAUUAUUUUUAGUUUUACAAUUUUCAUGAUGUCUUUUUAAAUGACUUGUAUCUGCAUUUGAGCCACCAGUAAGAAAUUUAUUACAAAUUUUACAUUUUGCUUUUAUUUUUUUUUUAUUAUUUUCUAAAAUUAUUUCUAUUCUAUCAAAAAAAUUCCAUAUAUUUAAAGUAAAUUUUUUGUUUGAUGAUAUUUCAUCACAUGGACUAGACGAAGAAGCACUUGUCAUAUUAUAAUUAUUGAUAAAAUAUUAUGCCAAAAAUAAUAAAGUAAUAAAUAUAAAAAAAAAUGUAACAAAAAAAAUAAAGUAGUAGGGGUGAAGUAUGUUACUCAAUUAGAGAACCUAUGCAGAAAUUCCUAGCAAAUUUGAACUCUUGGAGCCACCAAUGCUUGUUUUGCACCAUCAACAAUAUUGUAUAAUUUGAGGGAAAAAUAAAAGAAUUUAAAAUAUUGUAGAAUGUGAGAGAAAUAGAGAGAAUUUGAUGAAAAAAUGAAAAGGAAGAAAAUGUAUUUAUAGGAAGGUUAAAAAUAAUAAUAAUAAUAAUAAUAAUAAUAAUAAUAAUAAUAAUAAUAAUAAUAAUAAUAAUAAUUGGCCAUGUGACCGUUGGAGGCUUAGCUCCAACGGUCACAUGGGCUGGAGCUAGGCUCCAACAGUCACAUGACCGUUGGAGCCUUUAAUUUUUUUUUUUAAAAUAAUAUACUUUAUUUUUAUAUAUAUAUAACUAACUCAAUUAAUAAACAUAAAAAGAAUAUAGUUCAGUUGGUUAGAACCUUGAAGUUUAAACAUGAGGGGAGGGGUUUGAAUCCCUCCCUCUCCCUUAGGGGCUUUUUUAAAAGCCAUUUUGGCUUAUUUCAAAAAGCCUGUCGGCCCGACCCGCCCUGCAGCCCGCGGGCCUAGCAUUUUAGCAUGGCCUGGUCUGUUGACUAGUCAAAUGGCUCAUAGGCUCGGCCCGAACUGGGCCGCGGGCCUCUUAUUUACGGACCGGCCCGACCCGGCCCGCCCGUUGGAGACCCUUGAUAAUAUCUUCUAUAUUAAGUUACAUUAUAGUUUAUUUUACAAUAUUAUUAUGAUAAUAUGUCUAAUUUUAAAAUAUAUUUAAUAUUAAAAUUAUGAUCUAUUUUAAUUUAAAUGUAUUCAAUGAUAUCAAAUAAAUAAUAAUAUAUGUAUAAUUCUUUUAUUAUUUAUAUUUAUUAUUUUUAAUAAAUAUAUAGAUUAUAUAAAAAAGACCGGAUAUAUCUUUUCAAAUUUUGUAUCGCUCUCCAAGGAUAUUAGAUGUAUGGGAAUUUGUAUUGCUAUCUACGGAUACGUUGAUAUAUGGGUGAUUUAUCAGGAUAAUUAGAAAUUCUAAUUAUGUAAGCAGGUACGGAGUUCUGUGUCGGUGCGAUCUUGUCGACAACAGCUCCAAAUUGUGCAUCUUGCUCAUAGAGAGUAGCGGAAUGCACCAAUCGUAGGCUCAGAGUACCACUGAGUCGUCUGGCAGAGACCCAACUGAAGGUGCCUGUGUUGUUCCUGAUCUGAUCAGGCUUCAAACUACAAGGUGGAAUACUGGUUCCCCUAUAUCAGAAGCUGGAGAUACCCACCCCAUAUGCUCGUCUGGAUGUGCUCCUACCCUUUGAAGCCUUCUUCCGAGUCAAGUCCGAAUUGAUAAGGCUAGUGAGUUCCCAACCAACUGUACUCAGCAUGCUGCCAGGUGGAGACCCUCCAUAUUUGAUGGCUUCCUAAUAUUAAAAUGCUGACCACUGGUCUUCAUGUUCCACAGGCUUAAUUGUGUCCUUUGCUGAAAGAAUGGAUAGUGAUCCAUUUUAACACAUGAUUCACGCCGUCUUUGCCAUUCUUCAUGGUCUAGCCCUUUUAUAUAUAUGCUUCCUGAACUGUUGCUAUUAAUAAAAUGUGGUAUCUAUCCCGUACACCUUCCUGAUGGCCAGCGAAUGCAGAAGCUACAGAAACGGUUCCAUCUUUUGCUUCCGCCACUUUGGCAUCCUCCAUGAUGAGAUCGAAGGUGAAUAAUCAUAUUCUGGGGAUUUAUGUCCUGGAUAUUCUCAGUAAUGCCCAAUUUCCUGGUGCCGGCCUCAUUUCCAUGGGAACUGAUGGAUAACUUAAGGCUUCUACCAUCUGCGUGGUUCGCUUCUAACACAGGAAACUUCACGGCUAAAAGCAAGAUACCAAGAACAUCAAGGCUGUGACAAAAAUUAGUAUUUUUAACUUGUAGGAAUUUGAAAGGCAACCAACCAUCUAGCUCUGUUCUUAAAGCUCCCAUAGGAGGAUCAGAGGCUGGAUUGCUCAAGAUGAACUCAUCCAUUGUUGCACUUAAAAAGAAUUGGCAUGAAUUGUGGCCGCUCUAAUAGGUUCCCUAAACCAUCAUCCAAGUGGGCUUGCGGAAGGUAGCGAGUUUAAAACACCUAGGGCGAUGAACAGUGGACUGUGAUGCUCACAAAAGAGAAAAGGAAGAAUUCAAUAAUUCCUAAGAAUCCAUUUGCCUGUCAUCCAAAUUUUUAUAUUCUCUUCAGUCUGACGCGUUAUGCCAUAUAUUAAAAAUAGCGGCUUCUUCCAAGCCGAGACAGACUGUGCAAAGUUCGCAAGGCCAAUCAUCACCAUAAUCUGAAGUUGGCCUCCUCAAUCGCAGCUUGUAUCCGAAUGCUCACUUCACGGGAUGGAUUGUAAUGAAAACUAAUCUCAGUCCCAGCUAUGGCAGCAUCCUCACUUGACAGCAUUUUCUGCAUAUUCUAGAACAAAGCAAUAAACCCUCAAAGGCUCCUUCGGAUCAGAGUUAGAAGACUGUCCCUCAGGAACGUGAACACUAUGGUGGUUCUGAUAAGCAGUGAUAUUGCAUUAGAGCCUUUUGGAACAAGAGGAUCUUUUCAGGUGGAAACUGUAAACUGCUUCAUGUUGGGCUGCAACCUUUUCUUCAAGCAAUACUUUCUUUCUGUAUCACGACUUAUGUUGCUUCCGGAGCCAUCCCGUGUGGACUGCCCUUCAGUGAAAGAAUAUGUGUGUUGACAUGUUGGAUUGUAAUCUUUGUUCCACUCUAAUGGCUUUUGGUCCUCCUCUUUCUCUUUAUGACAGAGAACCAUUUAGUGAUCCAUCUCUAUAUUGUAGCAUUGCUGGUGCUUUGCAAUACUACACUCUCACCAAGCAUAACAUCUAUUUUUCCGUGACCAAAGUAUGUCGGUUUAUGCAUGCGCAAACUCUUAUUCAUUGGCAAGUUGUCAAGCGUAUCUCAUGAUUUCCCAAAGCCACAAGUUCUUAUGGUCUUUCUGUUCAAGCUUACAAUGAUCUAUCUUUUCUUGGUUAUACUGAUGUCGAUUGGGCUAGUUGCCCUGAUAACAAGCACAAUACUAGUGGGUACAACACUUUUCCUGGUCCUAAUCUCAUUUCAUGGGCAUUUUCAAAGCAGAAGGUUGUGUCUCACUCCAAUAACGAAUCUGAAUAUAGGGGACUCACUAAUUAAUGUUGUUGCCAAGGUCACUUGGAUUGAAUCUGUCUUACGUGAGUUGCGUGUUUCUCUACCCCAACCACCAAUUUUGUUGUGUGACAACAUUAGUGCUACACACUUGGACAAACCAUGUUGAAAUACACUAUCAUUUUAUCCAUGAAAGGCUUAUGCAUCACACACUCAAAAUUCAAUACACCUCUUCUAUAGACCAACUAGUCAAUGCUAUGACCAAAGCUCUUCCUUCAUCUCACUUGUACAAUCUUCAGUGCAAGCUGAUUGUUCUUCCCAAACCACUCAACUUGAGGGGAGAUGUUAAGCCAAUUUAAUAAAUUGAUUUCUUUUGGUUAAUUUGUUAGAAUCAUUUUUAUUAGAGGUUUGUUUGUACAAUUACAUCCAUUUAUCAGGAGAGUACACGUGUACAACUCCUCUUUUAAUCUCACCAUUGUAUAUAUAUGAUACACGACCUUACUCAGAAUUGCAUAACAUUUCCUCUGCUCAUUCCUUUUCUUCUUUGAAUUUUCCCUUACCUCACUGAUUUUGAUUUAUACCUGGUGUUUUCACCUUUGGUCUCUACCUUUCUAGCCAGUUUUCUAAUUAAUCCGUAUAUGGUAUACCUGUCAACUAAUGAGGAGAAAGAGAAAAGGGGAUUGCUGUUCCACCAGCUACAUAUAAUAAUUAAUUACAAUCAUGGUAAUGGAUCCUGAAAUCCAUCCUUUGUGGAUUUUGUACGGAAUAUUGUUGUUAUGUAUGUGGGCUCACUUAGAUGUAUAUUGCUAGCCUGUCUGGGAAAUGUGAUUGCAGGUCCAGAUUAUGAUGUUGAUAUUAGUGGGAUAAGCAAGAGAUGCAGUUAACACGUAUGUGAUGGACUUGAGUAACUUUUCCAUUUCAGUCCAUUUUUUAAGAUUAUGCUUAGUCUUAUUACAAGGAAAGACCAUAAGAAUCAUGAGUCAUUGGCAAGGUAAUAUCAUUCCCUCUUUACAGGCUUCUUCACCUUUUGGUUUUUUUAAUAUCCAUCAAGAUCUUUUAAUUGGAGGACAAUUACAAGUAUAUAUAUAUGUAUUAAAAGGGGAAAAUAUUAAAACAGGAAAUUUUAGGGAAAAUAUAAUAAUUAUUUCUUCCUUCUUUCCCAUAUAGAACUACACAAAAUAAAACUUUAAUAAUUUUUUCUUAUCUUUUUUAUUAUUAUUUUUUCUUAGAAACAUCCGUGGUCUCACAAGCUUGUAAUCCUAGAUUGUUAGGCUCCUUUAACAGUGCCCCAACAUCGUGGUCCAAUGACAAGCUUCCACGCCUUAAAAUCAGAAAAUGCCAUUAAACUUUAUCAGACAUUACAGUUCAAGACAAAGCUUUCAUUUGCUUAAUGUGAUAAUGAAAUUGUUAAUUUCAUUUCGUGGGCAUCUAAAUUUGGACGAGCAAGACCUCUGAAUUCCCUGUUUUUAUCACCAGCAGAGGAGAUAAAAUCUUAAUGGUGAGAAUCUCCACGUGAAAUUUAUGUGUACUGUCAACAUAUUUUUGUUUAUAUAGUCCAGUAGCUGCAGGAAGUCUAGAUUAUAUAGGUAGCAGUAGCACUAUUUAUAGCACUCGAUAUUCGCUGUAUGAAUACAUUAAACCUUGUUUUCAAUACGCAUCACAAGCAAGUACUAGAUACUACAAGGAGUGACAGUCGCAUCAACAUUUCUUGAUAAUAGCAGUGACUGAUUUAUACACAGAACAGUACUGUACACGUACCAGUCACCAGAGAUAGGAUCUUAUUCCUACAUACGACUCUUAUUGAUCGAAGUCACUCAGUUGGGGUAGCCUGGAGUUGGAGGUUUGUGUGGUGGCUUCUUCUUUGGAGGAGGCUUUAUCUUUGGAGGCAUCAUCUUUGGAGGCAUCUUGUGUGAGUCUUCUUCAGCAUUCUCUACAGGAGGAUGGCCAGGCUUAUGACCCUUAGGUGGUUUGCCAACUGGGAUUGGUGGCUUGUGUCCUGAGAGUGGCUCCUCUUCUUCGGGAGGUUUGCCAACUGACGUUGGUGGCCCGUGUCCUGGGGGUGGCUUGUGUUUUGGGGGUGGUUUCACUCCACCGGGAGGUUUACCAAUUGGUGUUGGUGGUUUGUGCUCAAUCGGUGGCCUCUCAACUGGGGGGCGCUUGGGGUAAUCAGCGAGUGAAGAAGUGGUGAGAACCACCACUCCAAGCAACAACACUAGCAAGUAUGUGGAAGACAUCUUUGAGUUUGGCUCAGAUG
rnacentral:lncRNA from 1 species